ensembl:lncRNA PCBP1-AS1 PCBP1 antisense RNA 1
CUCCUGCCCUUGUGUCGUUUCCACCGCGGCACCCUUUUCCGACAUUAGAAACAAUAGUGUACGCCUGUGGAGGCCUCGUUUGUUCAGGGGCUGCCGGCCAGGGCUUCAGGACGUUUCUGCGGCUUUCCCCGCGCGGCCUGGGCUCCCGCGGCUGCUUUUCGGGCCCAUGGGCGCAGCCACUGCGCCAGGCUCAAGGGGGGCGGCCCCGUCAGGGCCCGCCAUCUUGGAAGGCCUUUUUUGCCGGUUCUUCCCGCUGAGGAAGUGUCGCUCAAGACGCUGGCCUAUGAGUUGUGAUUUCUGCCUUUUCCCCUUCCUCCUUGGGCUAAGCCAGACCAGAAAGGGCCCCGUGCGCAACGUGCUUCACAAUCUCUCAGGGAAAGCGGCUAACGUGGCGCUACUCCGCCUCCCCUGUUCCUUACCCUUGGGGCGGCCGCCAUGUUUCCUGAACACAAAAUGGCGACACGUGGUUAGCAUUCGUCGCCAACGAGAAAUUGGGGUCGGCCCGAAAGCUCUAGAAUGCACCCCUCUUCCUCCCCGGGGCCUUCCACCUCCGCGAGUUUUAUGACUUAAAAAAGCCCACAGGCUGGUCUGAAGGUCGGAGGCCUAAUUUUAACGCGUUUUCCUCCCUUUAAUUUGAAACGGGAACGCGAAUGACUGUAAAAUGUGGGCACAAUAUUUAAUCUCUCGCCUUUUUAAAGCUUAAUAGUGGAUAAUAGGGGGGCAGUAUCAAGGGAUAAUUUGGGUCCCCACAGUACCAAAGCAUUUAGAAACCUCUGUUUAAUUUAAGGAAUGAGAUAAGUUACUGCUUUUCUAGACUUCCUAGCAUGGGCUGUUGUGCUGGAGAGAACGAGAGCUACGAAGAGACUACAGUGCCUCUGACUUUUUCAUAGGACAGUUGGCCGAGGAAGACAAACAUAAAGAUGAAGUGCUUAAUUCAAGGUCACACAAUGUCGGGGAUGGACCUCCAGAUUUCCUUACUGACCUGCAUUAUCUUGUGGAUACCUGAGUGAAUUCCACACCACCCAUUUUAUAGAUGAAACCACUGAGACAUGGAGCAAUUGACUGAGUAGUCACUGCCCCACCCCUGCCUGGAGCCUCACACAUGACUCGCCUCCUCUCAGUGACCACAGGAAAACAAGCUCAGGGCUCCCACUGAUUGUACAUUAUGAGACGGAGUCUUGCUAUGUUGCCCAGGCUGGUCUUGAACUCCUCACCUCAAGCGAUCCUCCCGUCUUGGCCUCCCAAGUGUCAGGAUUACGGGCAUGUGCUAUCACACCCAACCUGAUACAUUGCCUUUAUAAAUUUUUUUUUCUUUAUUCUAAAAACCAGAAAAAACAAAACUGGAUACAUGUGCAGAACAUGCAGACCAAGUGUGUUGGGGACUUGAGAUGCGUACAUGAGUGUGAUGUUUCCUGCUGAAAGCACAGGUGAGACGUGGUCUUGUAACACAGUGGUUAAGAAUGUGACUUUGGAGCCAGCCUGCUAGGGGCUGAAUUCUGACUCAGCCAUUUACUAACUGUGUGACCUUAGGCUGGAGUGCAAUGGCAUGAUCUCGGCUCAUCACAACCUCUGCUUCCUGGGUUCAAGCGAUUCUCCUGCCUCAGCCUCCCGAGUACCUGGGACUACAGGCACUCGCCACCAUGCCCGGCUGAUUUUUGUAUUUUUAAUAGAGAUGGUUUCACUAUGUUGGCCAGGCUGGUCUCGAACUCCUGACCUUGUGAUCUGCCCACCUCAGCCUCGAAAAGUGCUGGGAUUACAGGCGUGAGCCACUGCGCCCAGCCUUGUAUUUUUUUUCAGUUUGGGUAGCUGUCCCUAAUUCAUUUGUUAAAGGAGAAGCAAGAGCAAGAACCUUUAAUCUGUUCUCCUCUUCCCUAAUUUGAAAGUAGCUUGUUAUUUUGAAUAUCACUUUCUCUGAAAUAGCACAUCUCCAUCUCAGAGAAUGGAUUUAAUGUUUGGAUACAGCCAAAAGUCAUUUCAUUACCAAACCAUGGGGUGAAUAUACCAUGUAAAGCAGUUUGGGAUCAGAACUCACAGUCUGAAUUGUAAGUGAUGAGACUGCUGUCUCUCUGCUACAGCUUCUUGGCUGGCUCUGAAGGCUCUUUGAAGGCAGAUCCUAACAAGGGGACUGCUUUGAAGGGCCAUUGUUCAUUUGGAAUGAUAAAGUCUAUGUUGUUCAAAAAACAAAUGCUUGUAGCAGGUAUUUUUUCACUCCAGACUGAGAAUAUUGGUGGGAUAUUGAUAAGGGGUACUGAAUGGUAAUAAACAUGUGCUCUAGCUCUGUGCUAGUCAGCUUAUUUCAGAACUCUAGUUUGAUUCAGUUUCUUGCCUCUGACUCAAAAUGGAGGGAGAGUGAUUUUUACAUAAGAGAACACACCCACAUAUCCUUUUGGCAGCAGCUACCUGCCAGAGAUGUUGAAGAAGAGUAGCCAACCUUUACACAGCAGAUAUUGUGUGCCAGUCAUAGUCCUAAGUAUAAUACCUUACAUGUAUAAACUUCUUAUAAGGUUGGUGCUCUGUACCGAAUUGAAUAGUAUCCCCCAAAAUUCAUGUUGUCCCAGAACCUAUGAAAGUGAUC